ensembl:lncRNA
GGCAGCUCUUCCCUACUCCAGGUAAUGGGGGCUCUGAGCAGUGUCCAUCCCAGAGCUGCUACCCCACAGCCUGCACGGAUCCCUGCUCUCCCAGGGAGACUGCCAGGGCUGAACUUGGCCUCUGAUGGUCCCAGUUGUCUCUGCUCUGUUUCAGGCCUGCUGCUCUGUGUCUUGGCUCUGCAAUUCUGCACCCAGGGCCCUCUUGCCAUAGCAGGGCGCAAAGUGGUCAACAUGUCCAUAGUCACCACCCAUGCCUCGGUGGCUGCCACCAGUGCCUCAAUGUCCACAACCAACCAGGCAUCCAUGGCCACCAACCAGACCUCAGUGGCCACCAACCAGACCUUAGUGACCACCUACGACCAGGCAUUGGUGGCCACCAACCAGACCUCAGUGGCCACCUCCAACCAGGCAUCAGUAGCCACCAAUCAGGCCUCAGUGUCUGCCACCAGUGCCUCGGUAGCCACCUCCAAUCAGGCAUGGGUGGCCACCAACCAGACCUCAGUGGCUACCGCCAGUGCCUCAAUGGCUGCCUCCAACCACACCUCAGUGACCACCACCACCACUUGGGUGUCCAUCAGCCAGGCUUCAGUGGCUGCCAACGCCUCCAUGAACCAUACAGAACAAACCCCGGUAAGGAGAGGGAAGGGGGAUGCUGGCCAUGCAGAAGCUCUGCUGCGCUGUGACCCCCUGGCGUGUCCUCCCCCCAGCUCAGCUGUCAGAGCUUCCAGUGCUCCGGGGAGAGGUGUUACCAGGAUGAGGCCCACAGCAACAUGACGACCACCUGCUACAAUGAGACCUUCUGCGAGGUAUGGAGCUUAGAGCGGCUGCUGGAGGCUGUGAGCACAACACCUGAUUUUCCUUCGCCACUCUCCCACUCUGUCCAUUAUUUUUGCUCCUCUGUAAUGGCCUCUCUUCACACUUCUAGUGGGUUUCUUUUUUUUCCUUUGGCUCUGCUGUUGCAGCUUUAUCGUUUCUCCAGCAUGAACUACACCGCCAGAUGCAGCAGCGUGUGCAGUGCAGAGCUGUGCAGGACCAAUGGCAGCGUGACCCUACAGCAGUGCACCAUGGAGUGCUGCAACACCUCCCUCUGCCUGCAGCUCAAUGCAAGCUCCUAUGGUAACUGCUCCAUGGUUUAUCCCGCUGCAUGCAACAGAAGUGGGUGUGCGGAUCCAUCAUGCUGGGCUGCAUCGCUGUGGUUCCUCUGCCCCAGCGUGUGGACAUGAAGGCUGCACAUGGGCUGUGUCCUCAGGGCUCCUCUGUGCCCACAGGUGAUCUUCCCCCCACCACCGUGCUGCCCACGACCACCAUCACCACCACCACCACCCCACGCCCCCCCCCACGAAAUGUAGGUACCCGAUGUGAUCUUUGUGCGAAAGCUGCCUCGAAAGGGGAACAAAUCCUUAAUGAGCUUUGCAAGGAGAUGUAAGGGUGCUAAGCACACCGUCUGCAAUGCUCCAAGCAGCCCAAGGCAGCUGUGGGACAAAGCCUCCUCGAGCCACAGAAGGGGUGGGGUGGUGCUGGGGCACCCAAGUGAUGGGGUGGAAGGAGCUUUAUCUCUGCACAGCGUUGCUGAGAGGAAGGAAAAGGAGGUUUGAAACUCGUGGUGGUGUUGCAGUGAGGUUUCCUGCAGUGGCAGAUGGGAGCUCUCUCUUAUCUCUUAGUAUGAAAAGCUGGAGACAGAUGAUGCCAAAUGCUGAGAUAUAGGGGGGGUUUGGGAGGGCACUGUGGGAGGAAGGGCUGCCUGAGGUCCAGAUCUGGCCCUGGGCAUCCUGCUGCCUGCACCACACCUGCACAGGUCUCCUCUGGUCUUGUCUUGCAGGGGAAAAUCUGUGCAGCAUUCUCCUGCCAUGGGGAUGGAUGUUUCAAAGGCAAGAAGAGCACAGCUAGAUGCUUUGUUGGGCAUGAUUUCUGCGAGGUACGGCUGGGACAGGACAGGUGGGAUGUGCUGGAGUCUGCGUGCAUCCCCUCAAUGCAAAUGCCAGAGGCUGGGCAGGACCAGCAGGUCAAUCUGUCUCCUCCUUCCAGAUGAAGAAGACGGGCUUCAAUUACGUGGCAGGAUGCAGCAAAGCCUGCAAGGCUGCCAAGCCUGUCUGUGCCCGGGGGGUGAAGGCUGCCUGCUUCCAGGAGUGCUGCCCCGCCACCCCCAAGGGCAGCUGCUUAAAGCUGGAUGGCAAAGUUCAUGUGAAUGGUGCUGGGCAGGUGGCUGUGUCCUCGCUGCUGCAGCUCCUGGCAUGUGGGGCAGCCCUCCUCUUGAGCCAAAGGGCCUCCACUCCCCUCCAUGGGUGAUCCCCGCUACACAUCAAGCCUCUGUGCUGCAGGGAUGGCAGAUGCUGGAAGGAGAGACCUCAGGUGUAGGAGCGAGAGGAUGCUGAGCCAGCUCGGAACCCAGGAACCUCUGCCUUGACCCAAGGCACAGCUUACACAGUGUAGUUACAACGUGUUUGCACUGCAACUGUCUGAACACCCACUUAGUUUCUAAAUGAUACGUCCUGUCCCAGUAGGCUGUACUGUUUUGUCUCCAGGUCUUAGACAGGGCAAUGGGGCUGAGCUAAAAGCAUCGUGUUAGACCGUCCUGUUUCGUAUCUAUGAUUCUCUAUGGGUAAAUGUAGAGCAGAGACACGAGCGUGAGUCUGUAACAGGAGCUGGCUCCCAGCCAGACAGCUGGCAAUGGCUCUGUGGUGCCACUGUGCAAACACAUUCUGUCCUCUUCCUGCUCUCUUUUAAGAAAAUAAAAUAUAAUGACAAUAAUAGAGAAGCUUCAGUCCCUUGGGUUGAUGUCGGGCUGCUUUGGGCACAGCUCAGCUCCAGGGAUGUGGUGGGAAGGGGAUCCCAGCUGUAGGGCUGUGCUGGGACAGCAGCAGGAUGGCUUUGCUGGGAGCUCCGCACAGUGGAUGUGGGGCUGAGGGCAGGCAGUGUGCAGCCAUCAUUGGCCCUUCCACGCUGCAGUGCUGCUGCACCAAAGCCAUGGCACGGGCUGGGGGGUGCUGUCCCAUCAGUCUAUCGGCAGAAAAUGACAACGGGAUGGAACUCAAAGAUGUUUCUGUUUCAGAACCGACUCACGACACCACGUUUCUUGUAAGGAGGAGCGCUCUGGAGAUUGGAGCAGAUCUUUCUCACUGUUCUCCUUUCAUUUCCUCUUCGCAGUCUUUUAUCUGUUCUGAGAAGGGAGCAGAAAGCACAGACUGCUGCUUUUUCCAUAUCUGCUCGACUUUGCCGUUACUUCUACAGCAGCAGAAAGGGCUGACUCACACCGAGCUCCCCUGUUCGGCACGUCAGCGCCUGCUGACAUUUCCCAGCACCUGCUUACACCCUCCGCAGCAGUUAUUUGCAUAAUUAAAGCUCGGAAAUCAGCUGGGUCACGGCAUUUAACAAAACAUUCCAGGUCCUACCGCAAAAAGAGCCCCUCCUGAUGGCAGUAGGAAGUCAGCGGCUCUGCAUUGCCGCAGGCCCGGCUCUGUACACGCGGUACCCUCAGCUCGGGAACGCUCCGUGCCCCCCCCGACCGUACUCCGCUUCUGCUCAGCCCUUCCCGCUGCUCUCCCGGCUCUCCGCCCCAUUAACUCAGCAGCAUCCCGUUUAAAAAUCCUUCCCGGUCCCG